ensembl:lncRNA
CGGAAUUCUGUUAGUGAUAAAAAAAAAAGCAUCAGGGAAGAAAAUCCACUUUCUGUAGCAAGCAGAAAGGGACAUAUGUUCUAGUAGAUGGCUGCCAGCGACAAAGUUGAAGCCAGUUCUUGAUGGGCCAAAGAGAGCAUAACACAAAUCUUGUACAAAAUGAAAAUAGUUAUAAUAGUAUCGUUUUGCUCCAAGCAAGAAUGACUAAUUCUGCCAUAAAAUUCUCCACCUUAGCUUGUGUUUGUGCCCACAGUCACUGCCAGCAAUGUGUCACUUGUCGAAGACAUCACAUUUGACAGGCUCGUGAAUGUUGCGUGUCAUCCAAUUCUGUUAAAGCUUGCUGCAGUAUUAUUAAUGUUGACAACAUAUCUGACAAACAGAGAGGAUUCUGUCAUUAGCGUCCGCUAAUUCAUGCAUAAUGAAACACGCUGAGGAUUAGUCUAAUUUUCCUGCAUGGUAAUACGCGGGGUCUGCGGAAGUUUGCGUGGGGGGGGGGAUUUUUUAUUUUUUUUUAUAGUUCCAGUCAAGCAUCUCACCGAGUCAUAAUGGGAUUAAAUGAGUGUGGUUAGCUUAGUACGUGUCAAUAUGCUCAUGGAUAUGGUGAGAGUACAUUAAACAAUUUAACAUGCCUGUGCAUCACUCACUUUAAUGGAAAUUAACAAGAAAACAUAAACAAGUGGUGAAUAUACAAAAGCUAAUGUUUUUAUUAGUUAUUUUAUUGUUUUUUUGUAUGUUCUGACGUGUGAAUCAGUCCAGGCUAGACGCCAACUAGUUCAUUAAUCUGGUUAGCGAAGCAGAUUGCAAACAAUUCCUCAUGCUUUCUUUAAUGUGUAUUUGUAUGUUUGCAUGUGUCCCAGCUCCAGGACGCUUCAGAUUCAUUGUGCUGUCUCUGUCAGAGUCUCAUUAUAAGGUUGAUUAAUAGAAUUACGGGAUAAAUAUGUGUGGAAAUCAAAGUUAAUACUACUUCUAGACAGAAAAAAAGAGAUAAGAUUCAGAGAACAUACUUAGUAUUUACUGACAGCUGAAUUUUAAUCAUAACUGAACACUGCUUCACAGCAGCUUAUUAUAUGCCAACAAAGGAUGGCAUGUUGUUUCCAAUAAACAGAAAAUGUUUGCUCAAACAAAGCACGCCUAAAAACACUAAACUUGAUUUUCAUUCACUUAUUCAUAUACUGCUGCCAUUUGAGAGGGUUGGCAACUACUAGGAGCAAGUUGCAAUGUAGUAGUCAC